rnacentral:misc_RNA from 1 species
ACAACAACAAACAUGGCGGCGCCCUGUGCAUUAUUUGCUUCUUGUACUGGCGCCUUCGAUCCAGACGAGUUUAUAAAACUAAUAUUAGGAAAAGAGAAUCUCCCCACUGCUCAGCAUGUUACAGAGUCUAUAAAAGCCUAUGACUGGCACAUUGAUACCAAGUACUACACAGCUGAUGUGAGUCUGUGCACAUCACUAAGGAGAACUAUCGGCAACCAGGAGUUUGCUACAGCUGUGCAGGCCUUUAUUGUGUACUUUGACCCUAAACAGGAGUCAACAUUUGAGUUGGUGAAAGCAUGGAUGCCAUAUCUCGAACAGAUUGAACCAGAGAUUCUAAUCCUUGUGUGUAACAACAGCUCUCACACUGAUGCUGUGGGUAGAAUAUCAACACAACAGUGGUGUAUAGACAACAGCUUUGAGUUGGUGGAGCUGAACCCAGAGUUGGAUAACGAAGAUGAAGAUCUGGAAGAUGACUUUGUGGAGACAACUGGAAUUAAGAGGAUUAUUCAGGCUCUUCAUGCCCACACAUGGCCGAAUCUGAUAUUGAAACAAAACCCUGUGAUUGGUAGUCCUUACUAUCGUCAACUUUUGAAAGAAGAGUCUGAGCUGAAAGCAAAUGAAGUCAAAUCUAAUUCCAAGGAAUCCUGUGAUAAUGAAACAGUGUCAACUAAUGACAGUGAGAAAUCUGGGACUGGAUCUCAGUCAGAGGGAGAAUCUGGACACUCUGCCCUAGGGGCACCUGAACGGGGUGGGGACCCUGUUGUUGAUGGGGCAUCUGUAGGGGGUGGGGACCCUGUUGUGGAUGGGGCAUCUGUAGGGGGUGGGGACCCUGUCAGUAACGGAACAGAUGAAGCUUCUGCAGACAAAGCUGAGGGGGGAAAGGAGACCAAAAAGGAAAAGCCUUGUAAAGAUGAAAUAAUAGACAACCUCCUUCCUGAGGAUGACAUGGCGUUGUUGGCCUCCCUGGGGAAUGAGGAUGCAGGAGAGGAGUCCUUUGAGGAGAUGUUUGAAAAGCUGAGAAUAAUGAAAGAGAAAGCUGAAGUCAUGCCCAUGGACCAGAGAAAAGCAUAUGCUGAAAAAAUCGCAGUAUCAUUUUGGAAAGCUAUUGGUGGCGACGAUGAUGAAAUCCAGGGAUUGGAUGAUCUGGAGGAUGAGCUGAUGCCUUCUUGAAAGGAGCAUCACCUGAUGCAGAAGCUGGUCUUCUGUGGACAUUCCACCCAUGUAACCAUAGCAACCUGGGAAUGGCAUCAGAUUAAUGUUGUGCAUGUUGUGACAAAGCCAUGUGUAAACCUGUCGCAGAUGUGCUUCUUCAAAAAGAUGACUAAAUAAAGUUUGUCUCUUUGGCCAUUCAGUUGCUGUGGGUGUAAUAAAACUUUAAAUGAGUGGCAGUUCAUACUAAAGCGUACAUUUAGUUAAACGAUAAACAGAUUCAAGUCAGAAAACCAAUAGAUAUUUCCUGCUAUGGCUUGCAAACAAGUUGAAGCACGAUUUUGUGAAAUAAUAUGGCAUGAUGUAAUGAGAACAGUGGUAUUUAAAUUAAUUGAUCAUUGGUAACUUUGCAGUUGGCUUAUCUGGCAAAUACUAGUAUAUACCAGAGAGAAUCUGGCCACAAAGUGUUCGACGUGUUGCUGUUUAGAGGUCCAUUAGGUUGGAUUCAUUAUGUUCUUAAUUACCUGAGAAUAUAAUGCUUUCAAAACACAUGAUUUUGAGUCUUUAAAGCUGGGCUAGGUUACUAUAUUCGUAUUUGUUGUAAACUACCCAUUUACUUGUAAAUGUUGCAUUACAUUCAUAUAAUUUUUCACAAAAUGUUAGUUCAGUGAGCACACUGGGCACAAUGUGAAAAUGGGAGGUACAGGAUUUACAGCAUCAUCAUGAUUUCAGAUAGGAAGAUACACUGUAUAUCAGCUUGAACUUUGUCUCGUCACUACAGUAGGACUGAAACAUACUUGAAUACUUUGUGUAUUACAUUAUUAACAUAAAACAGCACCAGACUUGUCAAUGAACUUUGAUAUCAGGCUGAUACCUUCUCUAAAACAAACAAAACAUCGCCUUGUAAAUGGUUGUAUCAUCAAGCAUUGUGUCAUGACUGCAUCAGAUUUCCUAAUGAUUUCCAAGUUACCUUCACAAUCAGGACCAUAUUUUAUUAUUUGACUUUUGUAAAUGUGUCUAAAACUUGUGUAAAAAUACAUUGCUGAUUAAAAUUGAUUGCUAUUUUGAAGA